rnacentral:rRNA from 1 species
AUGCUUGUCAAUGUAAAUGGCGGUCAGUCGGCAAAGAACAUCAAAUCAUGUGCUCAUACGGUCCAGCUCGCGCUGUGCUCAUACGUACUGUUGCAACACAGCCCUGCCAUGGCGACUGAAUAUAAUAUGUGGCGUCUGGAAUUUGUUUACCUCCAAAGAAUCAGACCAAUUCUGACAGGACUGUACAGUAUUCAACGGCCGAAAUGCACGCAGCAGUGUGCAACGGCUAGGAAUUCAUGGCAUGGUGGGGUCCCUGCUCGCACGCGCGCACAGGAUAGAUGA